GCUUGCAUCUUGAUUUGAUUUUGAACGAGUGGCGGUACGGGUGAGUAACACGUGGGUAACCUGCCCUUAAGUGGGGGAUAACAUUUGGAAACAGAUGCUAAUACCGCAUAAAUCCAAGAACCGCAUGGUUCUUGGCUGAAAGAUGGCGUAAGCUAUCGCUUUUGGAUGGACCCGCGGCGUAUUAGCUAGUUGGUGAGGUAACGGCUCACCAAGGCAAUGAUACGUAGCCGAACUGAGAGGUUGAUCGGCCACAUUGGGACUGAGACACGGCCCAAACUCCUACGGGAGGCAGCAGUAGGGAAUCUUCCACAAUGGACGCAAGUCUGAUGGAGCAACGCCGCGUGAGUGAAGAAGGCUUUCGGGUCGUAAAACUCUGUUGUUGGAGAAGAAUGGUCGGCAGAGUAACUGUUGUCGGCGUGACGGUAUCCAACCAGAAAGCCACGGCUAACUACGUGCCAGCAGCCGCGGUAAAUACGUAGGUGGCAAGCGUUAUCCGGAUUUAUUGGGCGUAAAGCGAGCGCAGGCGGUUUUUUAAGUCUGAUGUGAAAGCCCUCGGCUUAACCGAGGAAGUGCAUCGGAAACUGGGAAACUUGAGUGCAGAAGAGGACAGUGGAACUCCAUGUGUAGCGGUGAAAUGCGUAGAUAUAUGGAAGAACACCAGUGGCGAAGGCGGCUGUCUGGUCUGUAACUGACGCUGAGGCUCGAAAGCAUGGGUAGCGAACAGGAUUAGAUACCCUGGUAGUCCAUGCCGUAAACGAUGAAUGCUAGGUGUUGGAGGGUUUCCGCCCUUCAGUGCCGCAGCUAACGCAUUAAGCAUUCCGCCUGGGGAGUACGACCGCAAGGUUGAAACUCAAAGGAAUUGACGGGGGCCCGCACAAGCGGUGGAGCAUGUGGUUUAAUUCGAAGCAACGCGAAGAACCUUACCAGGUCUUGACAUCUUUUGAUCACCUGAGAGAUCAGGUUUCCCCUUCGGGGGCAAAAUGACAGGUGGUGCAUGGUUGUCGUCAGCUCGUGUCGUGAGAUGUUGGGUUAAGUCCCGCAACGAGCGCAACCCUUAUGACUAGUUGCCAGCAUUUAGUUGGGCACUCUAGUAAGACUGCCGGUGACAAACCGGAGGAAGGUGGGGAUGACGUCAAAUCAUCAUGCCCCUUAUGACCUGGGCUACACACGUGCUACAAUGGAUGGUACAACGAGUUGCGAGACCGCGAGGUCAAGCUAAUCUCUUAAAGCCAUUCUCAGUUCGGACUGUAGGCUGCAACUCGCCUACACGAAGUCGGAAUCGCUAGUAAUCGCGGAUCAGCACGCCGCGGUGAAUACGUUCCCGGGCCUUGUACACACCGCCCGUCACACCAUGAGAGUUUGUAACACUCGAAGCCGGUGGCGUAACCCUUUAGGGAGCG
rnacentral:rRNA from 1 species